GCAGAACGCGAAGAACCUUACCUGGGCUAGAAAGUGUAGGAACCUGGCCGAAAGGCUGGGGUGCCCUUCGGGGAAUCUACAGUUAGGUGCUGCAUGGCUGUCGUCAGCUCGUGUCGUGAGAUGUUAGGUUAAGUCCCGCAACGAGCGCAACCCCUACCUAUAGUUGCCAGCAUUCAGUUGGGCACUCUAUCGGGACUGCCGGCCGUUAAGCCGGAGGAAGGUGGGGAUGACGUCAAGUCCUCAUGGCCCUUAUGUCCAGGGCUACACACGUGCUACAAUGGUCGCCACAAAGGGCUGCGAACCCGCGAGGGGGAGCCAAUCCCAAAAAAGCGGCCUCAGUACGGAUGGAAGUCUGCAACUCGACUUCUUGAAGUCGGAAUCGCUAGUAAUCGCUGAUCAGCAUGGCAGCGGUGAAUACGUUCCCGGGUCUUGUACACACCG
rnacentral:rRNA from 1 species